UGCGUACGAGGAUCUCGUUGUCGGCGAUAUACAGUCGGUAGCCAAGCGAAAGCAUUAAGUAUCCCACCUGGGGAGUACGCCGGCAACGGUGAAACUCCAAGGAAUUGACGGGGGCCCGCACAAGCGGAGGAACAUGUGGUUUAAUUCGAUGAUACGCGAGGAACCUUACCCGGGCUUGAAUUGCUGAGCGCGGCAUUUGCAGACAGAUGCUUCCCUUCGGGGGUUCAGUGAAGGUGCUGCAUGGUUGUCGUCAGCUCGUGCCGUAAGGCGUCCGCUUAAGUGCCAUAACGAGCGCAACCCUUGCCGUUAGUUGCCAUCAGGUUAAGCUGGGCACUCUAGUGGGACUGCCAUCGUAAGAUGCGAGGAAGGUGGGGAUGACGUCAAAUCAGCACGGCCCUUAUGUCCGGGGCGACACACGUGUUACAAUGGUAGGUACAGCGGGAAGCUACCUGGCGACAUGAUGCAGAUCCCGAAAUCCUAUCUCAGUUCGGAUUGGAGUCUGGAACUCGACUCCAUGAAGCUGGAUUCGCUAGUAAUCGCGCAUCAGCCAUGGCGCGGUGAAUACGUUCCCGGGCCUUGUACACACCGCCCGUCAAGCCAUGAAAGCCGGAGGCGCCUGAAGCCCGUAACCGUCAGGAUCGGUCUAGGGCGAAUCUGGUAAUUGGGGCUAAGUCGUAA
rnacentral:rRNA from 1 species